rnacentral:rRNA from 1 species
UUAGGGUUUGAUCAUGGCUCAGAUUGAACGCUGGCGGCAGGCCUAACACAUGCAAGUCGAACGGUAGCACAGAGAGCUUGCUCUCGGGUGACGAGUGGCGGACGGGUGAGUAAUGUCUGGGAAACUGCCUGAUGGAGGGGGAUAACUACUGGAAACGGUAGCUAAUACCGCAUAACGUCGCAAGACCAAAGAGGGGGACCUUCGGGCCUCUUGCCAUCAGAUGUGCCCAGAUGGGAUUAGCUAGUAGGUGGGGUAACGGCUCACCUAGGCGACGAUCCCUAGCUGGUCUGAGAGGAUGACCAGCCACACUGGAACUGAGACACGGUCCAGACUCCUACGGGAGGCAGCAGUGGGGAAUAUUGCACAAUGGGCGCAAGCCUGAUGCAGCCAUGCCGCGUGUAUGAAGAAGGCCUUCGGGUUGUAAGGUACUUUCAGCGGGGAGGAAGGUGUUGUGGUUAAUAACCGCAGCAAUUGACGUUACCCGCAGAAGAAGCACCGGCUAACUCCGUGCCAGCAGCCGCGGUAAUACGGAGGGUGCAAGCGUUAAUCGGAAUUACUGGGCGUAAAGCGCACGCAGGCGGUCUGUCAAGUCGGAUGUGAAAUCCCCGGGCUCAACCUGGGAACUGCAUUCGAAACUGGCAGGCUAGAGUCUUGUAGAGGGGGGUAGAAUUCCAGGUGUAGCGGUGAAAUGCGUAGAGAUCUGGAGGAAUACCGGUGGCGAAGGCGGCCCCCUGGACAAAGACUGACGCUCAGGUGCGAAAGCGUGGGGAGCAAACAGGA